GAUGAAGAACGUAGCGAAAUGCGAUACGUAAUGUGAUUUGCAGAAUUCAGUGAAUCAUCGAAUCUUUGAACGCACAUUGCGCCUGCCAGCACUCUGGCAGGCAUGCCUGUUCGAGCGUCAUUUCAACCAUCAAGCCCUAGGCUUGCGUUGGAGCCCUGCGGCUGCCGCAGGCCCCUAAAAGCAGUGGCGGGCUCGCUAUCACACCGAGUGCAGUAGAUUACUCUUCGCUCAGGGCGUGUGGCGGGUUCCAGCCGUGAAACCCCCUACUUCUCAAGGUUGACCUCGGAUCAGGUAGGAAUACCCGCUGAACUUAAGCAUAUCAAUAAGCGGAGA
rnacentral:misc_RNA from 1 species